rfam:Ipomoea nil DNA, scaffold: scaffold0268, cultivar: Tokyo-kokei standard.
AGCCAUGUGAUGAACACAUAGCGAACUAUUCUUUCGCCUUUUACUAAAGAAUACCGUGUGUUCAUUACAAUCAAUGGCAUACUCCAAUUUUUGAAGGGUGUUUAUUGUUAUUAUAAAU